UGAAUUAUAUUGGUUGUAGUAUGUUAUAUUGAAUACUACUGAAAUAGUUAUACCAAGUUCAACUGAUUUAGUCACAACGAGUUCGGCUAAAUUAGUUAUACCAGGUAGUACUCAUUUCAGAUCUGAUGAUGAAUUAAAUAAAAAAAUCACGAAAACAUACAAAAAUUCUUCAAAGGAAGAACAAGAAGAACCCUAAAGCCAAAAAACCCAUAAUUCUAUUGAACAUUCCUAAAUCGAGAAAGAAGCAGAACAAGAAAAACCUAAAUCGAAGAAAAACUCUAAAAUUGUAGAUCCAUAACCAUAGAUCGAGUCGCAGAUAGAACAGUGGGAGAGCUUCUAUUUCGUUUUUGUUAUAUUUUUCGUCAUUGUUUCAUCCACGUAGAUCUAGGACAUAGAUUCAUUGAUAUCGUACAUGUUUAUGUCAUUUUCUCUAUUUAUCAAAGAUUCAUCUAUACUGUUUUUGUUUUGAUAUGGAAUAAGAUAGAAAAGAAGAGAAAAAUAGUUGUCGCGGAGAAAAGAGAAAAGAAAAACUGUCGCAGAGAAGAAAGAAAGAGAAGAGAAAAAAUAAGAAUUAAAAGAAAUCUAGUCGAUUAAAAUGUAUAUAUUAAUGUUAAAGAUAUUAAUGUAAUUAACUUAAUGUUUGCAUAAAAAUUAAGCAAAACUAUAAUAAUUUUAACAUGGGUCUUUUUAAGAUUAGCUCUUGACAUAUGGGGGCAAGAAGAAAAAAAAGGUGACUCGUGCCAAGUUGAGCCGAAUGACCGAAAUCCACUACAGAUAACAUCUUUAUGAUCCAAGAUUCUACUCCACUAGUGGUGAAAGUCUACAAAUAGGAUUUUUUAUCCGCCAAGAUAGAGAUCCAUUUUUUCUCACGCUCUUGAACAUUUUACUUAUACAAUAGCUUUUAAAAGUUAUCGAUUUUCUUAUGUGACACUCUGACCCACUAUUCCGACAAUUUUCUGGUCAUUUCACCACCAAACUCUUGUUUUAUUCAUUUUCACCUAUGGUUCCAUCCCAAAAAGCCAAGCCUCAAUGGAUUCAUCUUUCUUUUUUGGAUUCAUCUUUCUUUCGGACCGUUUAACCGUGCCCCUGUCCCUAAUUAAGUUUCUUUUAUUUUUAUUUUCGGUAUCCAAUGCCGCUUUUGUUUUCUUCCCUCGUAAGAACCAUAUUUCUAAUAUUUCAGGCUUCUAUGAGUCUUUUCUUUCCAGAUGAGAGUUUCCACCCCAGAAAGUUAAAACUACUUUAAAUAUAUAUAUAUAUAUAUAUAUAUAUAUAUAUAUAUAUAUAUAUAUGAAAUAAAAGUAUUUUAAAUUAUCAGCAAAAUAUUUUAUAAGUACAUGUUCCAAAUCCUUACAAUAACAUUUUAAUUAAUUAUUUAUAAACUUUUAUUAUAAUAUUUUCCAUCACUUAGAGCUAUUAUAUUUAAUGACUUAAUUAUUUACUUCAAUAUAAUUUUAAUUUAUUAAAUACUUUGGGUUUAAAUAAAAUUUUAAACUAUGUAUUUUUAUAAAUUAUGUGUUACCAAUUAUAAUUUUUUUUUUAUUUUUUUUUUGUUAAAUCCAAUUAUAAAUGUUUCACAAACAUACUUGUUUUAACCUAUUUUAUUAAAAAAAUAUACAUCAUAUAAAAAUAACUAUAUCCCUAUAUGUGAUUUAUAAUUUUAUCAUUCAAAUUUUAACAGAAAUGUUUUUAAGAAACGAAUUUAAUCAUUACUUACAUAUUAUACUAUUUUAAUAGCAUACAUCAUCAUAAGAUUAUUUUACCAUUAUUGUUGUUAAAAAAAGAUUAUUUUACCAUUACAUCGAUUUUUUUUAGUUUUGAAUAUUUUUCUUUUACUACAAUAAAUCUUUAAAAAAAAUCUUUAAUUUUUUAUUAUUUAAAUAACUAAUAAAUUUAUAAUUACUAUUAAAAAUAUACCUAAAUAUUAAAUCAUUUUUAACUUAAAUAAAAAAAACUAAAUAACUUGAAUAUUUUAUUUUCAUAAAAUUAGUUUAUAUAAAAAAUAGAAUCUAUUCAUUGUAAUUUAAACGGCAUACACGUUUAUUUAUAACAUCAGACGUUCACAUAUACAUCAUGUACAACCAUAAUGUACAUAUUUUAUCGUGUUGUAGACAUCUAAAAUACUUUAAACACAAUUAAGGAUAUACCCAUGCAAAUUAUAACACCAAUACCUACAGAGUUAUAUGAUUUGACAAUACAGUGACAAAAUGCCUUCGAGAUUCUCACGACAAAAAUUGAGAAGACAGUGGCAAAUAUAUUCCAAAAUUUUCACUAUUCUCAACAGAAAUGACACAGAAAACUCCAAGAUUCACAAGCUUCUCAAUUAUCAUCUCUAUAAAUACCAUAGAAUUCUGUUACAAGAAAAAAAAAUACCAUAGAAUUCCAUGUUUUUGGUAUUCCUACUAAUGUUUUCUUUCUUUUUUUUGCUUUAAUAAUGUUUUCUUUUUUAUAUCAUUAAUUUUUGCUUUUGACAAAAUCGUAAUUCUAAUAAACUGUUACUAAAUUUUAUCUCCUCCUAUCUUUUGAUGUUUCUUUUGAUUUUCAGGUACAUUUGGGCUGGCCUUCUAUGAUCUUGAUUGUGAAAACUCUUGGAUCUCUUAAUGUAUUUCAUGAUUUUAUGUUUAGUCCAUCUCUUCUUAGAUGAUUUCCACGAAGUACGUUUAAAUCUUUGUUACAGAUGAGAUUUAGAUAUUCAAGGUGUUGGAUACUCCUAGUUAUAUGGCUUUCUGCAUGGUUUGUGAAUUCUCUUGGUAUGGGUUGGUGAUUUGGGCACAAUGCUGGGUCGAGAGUAAUUAAUGCAUGCAUGGUAAUGAAUAAUUCUAAGAACAUUAUUCAACAUUUCUUCGGACCUAAGUUAAGCAUGGGUCUCCACAUUUUUGUAACCUUGUUAAAACUUAGGGACCGUAUUUCUAGAAAAUAUCCAUCGGCUCUGUUGGUAGAAGCCUUCGAAACAGUUUAUCAGGUUGUGACUCGACAGCUCCUUGCAUAUAUUAUGGAAAUGGAACAUCGUGCUGUUUGCCAAUUAAUUAUUACUAUGUUAUAUAAAACCCACGCUACAAAUAAUUAUGUCCUUUAUAGUAAAUUUUGAGAUAAUUUCAUUUUAACAAAGCAACUGUUAUAUAAUUGUAUAAUCUAAAUUUAAUCAUUUCAUACUAUUUUAAUAUUUAUAUUAUAAGGAAUAACAUAUAUUCAUCAAUUAAAUAUUCUAAUUAAGUUUGUUUGCCAAAAAGAAUUUAGAUAUUGUUUCAAAAAAAAUAUUAAAGCUUUUAAUAUUUGAAAAGGCAAUUUAUAAUUAAUUUAUAUGUAACUACAUUAACAAGAAUUUAAAUUGUUAACCAGUUUAUUGAUCCAUUUGACAACAUUUUAGUUUAUUAUAAUAAUUAAUAGUCCAAAAUGGCUAGACCGAUCCUUUUAACCGAUUUUUUAGCUGUCAGUAUUCUUUUUUUUCUCUAACGACAAAAGGUCAUUCUAUUAUUCAUGAUUGAAGUGGUCAUUGUAACCAUACCGAAAUAGAACAUCCAACAAAAUAAAGAGCCAUAUGAAAAGAUCAAGCACUUCUAACUAAGUGAUAUGCAAUUCCAUUUUAUU